UGGGGGAUAUUGCACAAUGGGCGAAAGCCUGAUGCAGCGACGCCGCGUGGGGGAUGAAGGCCUUCGGGUUGUAAACUUCUUUUGCUCUGAACAAGGCGCACCAUGGGGUGUGUUGAGUGUAGGGGUUGAUUAGCGCCGGCUAACUACGUGCCAGCAGCCGCGGUAAUACGUAGGGCGCGAGCGUUGUCCGGAAUUAUUGGGCGUAAAGGGCUUGUAGGUGGCUGGUUGCGUCUGUCGUGAAAGCUCAUGGCUUAACUGUGGGUUUGCGGUGGGUACGGGCUGGCUUGAGUGCAGUAGGGGAGGCUGGAAUUCCUGGUGUAGCGGUGGAAUGCGCAGAUAUCAGGAGGAAUACCGGUGGCGAAGGCGGGUCUCUGGGCUGUUAUUGACACUGAGGGGCGAAAGCAUGGGGAGCGAACAGG
rnacentral:rRNA from 1 species